rnacentral:rRNA from 1 species
UACGUAGGGGGCAAGCGUUAUCCGGAAUUACUGGGUGUAAAGGGAGCGUAGACGGUAAUGUAAGUCUGGAGUGAAAGGCGGGGGCCCAACCCCCGGACUGCUCUGGAAACUAUGUUACUAGAGUGCAGGAGAGGUAAGCGGAAUUCCUAGUGUAGCGGUGAAAUGCGUAGAUAUUAGGAGGAACACCAGUGGCGAAGGCGGCCUACUGGACUGUAACUGACGUUGAGGCUCGAAAGCGUGGGAAGCAAACAGG